CAUUUUAAAGACGUUAUUUUUUUGAAUAUUUAUUAGUGGUGCAAAGCAUUGCUUAGUGCAAAUUUCAAAAGUUUAUUAAUGUAUUUUUUGUUUCAAUUUCAGAUGGCAUCUUGCAAAGGAAUAUUAUGACAAGCAAUGUAAAGAAAAUGCACAGGUAGAACCUGUAAAUUCAGUGCAAGGGAUUAAAGGAAGCUUAAACUUUAUUGAAAGAAGAAAAAAUUGUGUGAAAGGAUUACGAAAAUAUAUAUUUCAAGCAAUUCAAAAACAUUAUUAUAAGAACUGAUUGCAAUUUUACCGAAAGAUAUUACUAUACAAGAUUUUUACGAGAAUUAAGGUUAAAUUCGAUUAAACUAGAAUUUGAGAAAAUGCUUGAUCUACCAGGCAGACAGCAGCUUAUGGAACGGGUUGCUAUUUUUGUGGCACAAUCACUUCAGCCUGAAAAGGAUGUCUUUUACUCGAACGUAAAAACAUCAUUGGAUAGAAUUGCACAAGAUGUACUGAAUUGUCUCAGAGAGAAGCAUCUUAAACAUUCAAUAUUCUCCACGUCUGAUGAAACUUUUUCCUAUUGGGAAAACAACAAUAUUGAUGAUAAUCACUGGGACGAAAAAGAAAGUACGCAGAUUAUGGAUACACUCCAGAAAUAUAUAUUUGAAGCAUUGAACUACCGAACAUGUAAUCCGAGAGACACAACUGUGGAAUGUUUAUAUAUAGACAGAGUCUUAAAAAAUAAGUGCGGACACGAAAUAAUUUUAUUAAUAAUAUAUCAGCGUGGCCAGGAGACUUGGUCUAUGUUGUCAAAUAAUAAAACUGGAACAUCACUAUUGUAUAUUUUGGACACCAAAAUAAUAAUGCCACGAAUAAUUGUUUAGAAAAUGCAAGAUGUUUUAACAUAAUUUUUGAGCAAUUCCGGGUUUGUUUUAUCAACCAAUUACCGCUAUUCUGGACGCUGUACACUAACAGACAUGCAUUAUCUAUAUUUAUAAAUGCCACAGAGAUUUGAACAAUAUAAAAAUAUUAUUUUUAAAUUUAAAAAUCAAAUAUAAUAGAUUUUUCGGACUUUAUCCGCGUGAAUCUCGAUUUUACAGCUGUACUUAUGAGAUCUCCCUUCGCUUUAAAAAAGGAAGGCAGUUAAAUACAAGACCAGAGGAUGUAAAAUGUGCAAUAGAGAUGAUAGUAACACAUCGUGACAACGAUAAUCAAGAUACUUGUGCCGGCGUGAUAAUCGGAUGGCAUCGACCUGAAGAUACAAAUGUUAAGUUUGAUUUGUCAACCUAUGACGAUAGUGAAAUUUUUUCCUAUUAUAUUCAACGUGCAUUGCCAUUGAUUCACAAUUACGGAUUUAGAAAACAACAAACAAAUUAUAUAAUUCUCACUGAAAAUAAUAAUAUAUGUUAUGUAAAUGAAGACACUAUAAAUCUAACAGAGCCGAAAUGGAUCGAUAAUAGCCAGAUAGAUCCCUAUUUUUGCGAAUUCAAAAAUACGCAUUACAUGCCAAAUAAGAUGCUGAGAAAAUUUUAUCCACACGACGCCGCUAUAACUAUACUCAGACAAUAAUAAUAGAAAAUUAACUACAUAAAUUACAUUAUGCAAUAUGUAGAAUAUACAUAACUUUUUUUAUUUUUAAUGACAAAGUUCUCAUAUUAUUCAUAUAUUUAACAAAUGCUUGUAGAAUAAAUCUAUCUAUAUAUUUAACUUUAACUAAUUUCGAAAUUAUA